GGAGGAUGUGAGGACGAUGGGAGUGAAGGGAUGGAGAAGAAUUGUGAAUAAUGGGACAGAAUGGAAAAAAUUCAUCGAACAAGCUAAGACCCACACAGGGUUAUAACGCUACUAGAAGACGUUAUUCAGUGUUGUGAAGAAUUCUUGAUUAUACAGAUUUGCACUAACUGAAAAACAGAAAUAGUGUUUAUGGACUAUCAGAAGACUCCGUAGAAGACUAUUUAGAUGUCCCUUCUUCCAGAGGCUUUAGUUCCAGCAGAAGCUCUAUUAAGUUCCGACUUUCUUUUUUCAUCCGCUGUUCACAUUCAGCCACUUUCUUACGCCAAUAAUCGUAUUUAAGCUACAAUAUACAACAAAAUAAGAGGACAUAAAAUAAUAAGGCAGAUAAAACUGCAUACACAUGUUCGAUAGGAAAUUGUUAGCAAAUGAUUACUUGUCACCUGAGCUGGAAUAGCUACGUUAAGUAAUUAACUUUGUGGAGAAAUCCUAGGCCAGUGCGGAAGUUAAUUACGUGCAUUUUAUACAACACAAAUGCAUGCAGAAAAUGGAAGUUUCAGUGCUAAGUAAAGAACAAAUUAUAUACACAAUUUGUGUGACAACCAUUCAACAUAUCAAAGACAAGUGAACAUUUGCAGGUUGAACAGCGCCAUCAUAUUGUUCUUUGAACUCUAUUCACUUCAUUUAGCUAAUUGUUUAAACUUCCUAAUUAAUACAUCUUGUAAUUAUUCGGUAUUAAACAGAAAUAAGAACUAUGUAGGAAUUAAAAGUCAGAUAACCAGCUUAAAUUAAAACAUAAGACUACAAUAUUUGCUUACAUAAUAUUUAUAUUUUAUCUGUAACUUACCAAAAGACCUUCAUAUUUAGCUCUUGCAAGUGCUGCGUCACUUUCAAGUGAAAGAGAUCGAUCAAAAAGAAAAUUCAAUCCACACGUGGCGUCAUCAAUAUUUUUAAUUGCGUCAAAGUGAGCUCUUUUAUUUUUUUCUGAAAUAGAUCACAUUAUUACCACUAAAUUACUGGUGUUUUGAUCUUUCCUUAUAGUAAAAGACAGCCAUCUUCAGAAUCAACACAGCGGAAACUUCAAAUCCUACUUAAAAAAUUCUUAUUUCUGUGACAACAUAAUUCUGAUUUAUGUUGUCACAGAUGCUUAAAGUUCAUUGGUAAAAAAAGAAUAUACUUGUACCACAUGCAUUUAAAGAUCCUGAGAUGUCUUACUCUGAGUAGAACGCAUGUGUUUAACGAUCUCUUGUAAUCGUUUCAAUUCCUCAUCACUGGACGCAAUUAGUUCCUUGAUUCUUGAAUCCUGUACGUCAAUGAUAAUUUUAGAAUCAGCAGUAAGUUCACGAGCAUGGCAGAUCUGUUCAAAUAUAUCCCAGAUAUUGUGGAAGAGCAAAAGCUUUAUGACAGGAAUUUCAUUACAGGGUUACUGCAGAAUGUAUUUACAUUGCUGUAAAUACCUCAAAUAUUACACUCUAAACUACGUCUUCCAGUUUUGGUUUCAUAUGACAAAUGAUAUAUACAUAUGUAUCACCCAGAAAUUUGCAUUAAUUCUGAAUAUGAAGAAGAAAUGCUAAACAUUUGACUGCAAAGUGCAGUGGGUUUACCACAAGAAUUACUUUUUGCACGAUAGAUACAAUAGUUGACUAUAUGGUUGCAGUCUGUUUACAACAAAAUUAGAAUCCUUAACAAAGCAGAAUAAAAUGUAUUAUAAAGUACACAUACCUUCUUUAGUUCACGGCUCUCUUUUGCCUCGAUUUCUUUAUCAAGAUUCUUAUGAUUCUUACCAAUAUUGGUGAAUUCUUUUACUUGUUCUUCAAGGCACGUAUGAAAUUCUCCCUUACCUUCGCUGCCAACAUUUUUCUGAAAAGAGUGAAAACUUUAAAGCUAUGCAAAAGCAAAAACCAAAUGUAUUUGAUUUUGUCAGCAAACUAAUAAUUGAAGAUGGCUAUCUUCUGGGUUGCAGACAUUAUGAAGUAUGGUAGAAAUUCACUAACGUUUUAGAGUUGCCUGCUGCCUCCAUCAUCAGGGCGUCAAUCUGAUGAUGAAGACCAACAGGGACCUACUACACUACAGAGUACCAUAACUCAGAAUACAGCUAUCUUCAUAUUCACUGCUGUAAGGACCUAAAAUCCCAUUCAGCUAGUUUAACAAAUUAGAAGAAUGAGUGGAAAUAAAGUCUCAAUAAAACAUGUUGUGAAAAAACA